AGGACGAACGCUGGCGGCGUGCUUAAUACAUGCAAGUCGAGCGAGAAGCCACUUCUCCGCAAGGAGAAGUGGUGGAAAGCGGCGAACGGGUGAGUAACACGUGGAUAACGUGCCCCAGACACUGGGAUAACAGCGGGAAACCGCUGCUAAUACCGGAUAACGCAUAACUGUCGCAUGACGGAUAUGCCAAAGCUCCGGCGGUCUGGGAUCGGUCCGCGGCCUAUCAGCUUGUUGGUGGGGUAACGGCCUACCAAGGCAGUGACGGGUAGCUGGCGUGAGAGCGCGACCAGCCACACUGGGACUGAGACACGGCCCAGACUCCUACGGGAGGCAGCAGUAGGGAAUCUUGCGCAAUGGGCGAAAGCCUGACGCAGCGACGCCGCGUGAGCGAUGAAGGCCUUCGGUUGUAAAGCUCUUUCAGCAGGACGAAAUUGACGGUACCUGCAGAAGAAGUCCGGCAACGUACGUGCCGAGCAGCCG
rnacentral:rRNA from 1 species